rnacentral:rRNA from 1 species
CCCUUAGAUGUUCUGGGCCGCACGCGCGCUACACUGAUCGGUGCAACAAGCAUCCGUCCUUGGCCGACAGGCCCGGGCAAUCUUUGAACGCCGGUCGUGAUGGGGAUAGACCUUUGCAAUUUUUGGUCUUCAACGAGGAAUUCCUAGUAAACGCAAGUCAUCAACUUGCAUUGAUUACGUCCCUGCCCUUUGUACACACCGCCCGUCGCACCUACCGAUUGAAUGGUCCGGUGAAACCUCCGGAUUUGCGCGUGCCCUCGGGCGCCGCCGAGAAGUUGGUUAAACCUUACCAUUUAGAGGAAGGUGAAGUCGUAACA